rnacentral:rRNA from 1 species
UACCGGCAGCUCGAGUGAUGUCCACUGUUAUUGGGCCUAAAGCGUCCGUAGCUGGCCGACCAAGUCCGCCGGGAAAUCCACCUGCCCAACAGGUGGGCGUCCGGCGGAAACUGGCCGGCUUGGAACCGGAAGGCUCAGAGGGUACGUCCGGGGUAGGAGUGAAAUCCCGUAAUCCCGGACGGACCACCGAUAGCGAAAGCACUCUGAGAGAACGGAUUCGACAGUGAGGGACGAAAGCUAGGGUCUCGAACCGGAUUAGAUACCCGGGUAGUCCUAGCUGUAAACGAUGCUCGUUAGAUGUGGCACCCACUACGAGUGGGUGCUGUGUCGCAGGGAAGCCGCUAAACGAGCCGCCUGGGAAGUACGCCCGCAAGGAUGAAACUUAAAGGAAUUGGCGGGGGAGCACUACAACCGGAGGAGCCUGCGGUUUAAUUGGACUCAACGCCGGACAUCUCACCAGCCCCGACAUCAGUCAUGACGGUCAUGUUGACGACAUCCGCCCGAGCUGAUGAGAGGAGGUGCAUGGCCGCCGUCAGCUCGUACCCGUGAGCGUCCUGUUAAAGUCAGGCACGAGCGAGACCCGCGUUCCUAAUUGCAGCACCAUCUCCCGAUGGGUGGGUACAUUAGGAAGACUGCCAGUGCGAAACUGGAGGAAGGAACGGGCAACGGUAGG